AACUAUAAAGUGAAAAUUUAGGCUAAAAGGAGUUUAAUAAUUUUAGCUUUAUUAUUAAGUUAGUGUUAGUGAUAAUAUCUUAGUUUGCACAAUACAGAAUCUUGUAAAGAAUAUAUAUUAAUUAUAAUUUAGUCAGUGACGUAACGGAGGAAGAGGGGGCCCUUAGGCAUAUUUGGUGUGAGGGCCCCUGUGGACUGUUGUCAUUGUUUGACUGAGAUAUUAUUUUUAUAUUGAAUAUUUAUAGAAUGUUCUGGAAAAUUCCGUGUCUAUAAAGGUAACAGUCUCCAACACAUGUAACGAC